rnacentral:tRNA from 1 species
GUCAUUUAGGCGGUCCGCGUAAGGUUUAGGACCUUAAGGAGGUUUAGUACCAAAUGAUA